rnacentral:rRNA from 1 species
CCUACGGGAGGCAGCAGUGGGGGAUAUUGCACAAUGGGGGGAACCCUGAUGCAGCGACGCCGCGUGGGUGAAGGAGCGUUUCGGCGCGUAAAGCUCUAUCGGCAGGGAAGAAGAUGACGGUACCUGACCAAGAAGCCCCGGCUAACUUCGUGCCAGCAGCCGCGGUAAUACGUAGGGGGCAAGCGUUAUCCGGAUUUACUGGGUGUAAGGGGGGCGCAGACGGCAAUUCAAGCCAGGAGUGAAAGUCUGGGGCCCAACCCCGAGACUGCUCUUGGAACUGCAUGGCUGGAGUACAGUAGGGGCAGGCGGAAUUCCUGGUGUAGCGGUGAAAUGCGUAGAUAGUAGGAAGAACACCGGUGGCGAAGGCAGCCUGCUGGACUGUGACUGACGUUGAGGCCCGAAGGUGUGGGUAUCAAACAGGAUUAGAUACCCCGGUAGUC